rnacentral:rRNA from 1 species
GACGUAGGGCGCGAGCGUUGUCCGGAUUUAUUGGGCGUAAAGAGCUCGUAGGCGGCUUGUUGCGUCGGCUGUGAAAUCCCAUGGCUCAACUGUGGGCCUGCAUCCGAUACUGCCCGACUAGAGGUAGGUAGGGGAGAUCGGAAUUCCUGGUGUAGCGGUGAAAUGCGCAGAUAUCAGGAGGAACACCGGUGGCGAAGGCGGAUCUCUGGGCCUUACCUGACGCUCAGGUGCGAAAGCUAGGGGAGCAAACAGG